CACGUAGGGGGCGAGCGUUGUCCGGAUUUAUUGGGCGUAAAGAGCUCGUAGGCGGCUCAGUAAGUCGGGUGUGAAAACUCCAGGCUCAACCUGGAGACGCCACCCGAUACUGCUGUGGCUAGAGUCCGGUAGGGGAGCAUGGAAUUCCUGGUGUAGCGGUGAAAUGCGCAGAUAUCAGGAGGAACACCGAUGGCGAAGGCAGUGUUCUGGGCCAGUACUGACGCUGAGGAGCGAAAGCGUGGGUAGCAAACAGG
rnacentral:rRNA from 1 species